rnacentral:rRNA from 1 species
ACGGGUGAGUAACGCGUGGGAACGUGCCCUCUGGUUCGGAAUAACUCAGGGAAACUUGAGCUAAUACCGGAUACGCCCUUUUGGGGAAAGGCUUGCUGCCGGAGGAUCGGCCCGCGUCUGAUUAGCUAGUUGGUGAGGUAACGGCUCACCAAGGCGACGAUCAGUAGCUGGUCUGAGAGGAUGAUCAGCCACACUGGGACUGAGACACGGCCCAGACUCCUACGGGAGGCAGCAGUGGGGAAUAUUGGACAAUGGGGGCAACCCUGAUCCAGCCAUGCCGCGUGAGUGAUGAAGGCCUUAGGGUUGUAAAGCUCUUUUAUCCGGGACGAUAAUGACGGUACCGGAGGAAUAAGCCCCGGCUAACUUCGUGCCAGCAGCCGCGGUAAUACGAAGGGGGCUAGCGUUGCUCGGAAUCACUGGGCGUAAAGGGCGCGUAGGCGGCGUUUUAAGUUGGGGGUGAAAGCCUGUGGCUCAACCACAGAAUUGCCUUCGAUACUGGGACGCUUGAGUGUGGUAGAGGUCGGUGGAACUGCGAGUGUAGAGGUGAAAUUCGUAGA